rfam:Ochotona princeps cont2.74742, whole genome shotgun sequence.
UGUGUUCCUAGGUCGGAAGCAUCAAUCCCAGGGGAAGCCAACUGCAGAACAUUUUAUGCAUCGCUCAUCCUGUUAUGAGCCUGGUGCUGUUCCAUCUCUCUACAAGG